CCCUUAGAUGCUCUGGGCCGCACGCGCGCUACACUGGUCGAUGCAACGAGUUUCUUUCCUUGGCCGACAGGCCUGGGCAAUCUUUGAACAUCGAUCGUGAUCGGGAUAGAUUCUUGUAAUUUUUGAUCUUAAACGAGGAAUUCCUAGUAAACGCAAGUCAUCAGCUUGCAUUGAUUACGUCCCUGCCCUUUGUACACACCGCCCGUCGCACCUACCGAUUGAAUGGUCCGGUGAAAUCUCCGGACUGGCGUGAGUCGGAGCAACCUGACAAACGCCGGAAAGUUGAUUAAACCUUACCAUUUAGAGGAAGGUGAAGUCGUANCAA
rnacentral:rRNA from 1 species